AUCAUUUAGUUACGUCUCUAUAAACUGGAGAAUCCUUCAGGCUAAUGCUUUUCAAUUUUUUUUGCUACAGAUGAGAGAAUUCCUACAGCUACUCAUUCAUCAUCCACGGAGCCAUUUACGGAAAUUUUGAGGCAUUUUGUCUAAAGUUUUCAAUCUCUUGCGUUAACCUCUGUUUCAAGGUGUGGCUUUGGGCUCCCUUCUCGAUUUUCUACAGGCAUUGGUCGAGUUUAAUGCACCUGGAUCUUGUCUUGGCUACCGCGAUCUGUUGAUGUUUAUGAUGAAUUUGGCGUCGAAACCUGGUCUUUAUAAUACUGCUCAUCAUUCUGUCGCUCAGGCUGUUGCUUCAUUGGUUGUAACUCAACAAGUUUCUGAAGCUUUUACAUUGGUGCAGAAUUUCCUCCAGGAGGCUCAGAGACCUCAUUCUGAUUGGCAACACAUUUUUGCGCUCCUUUGUAUUGGAGAGAUCGGCAAAUGAAUUGAUCUUAACCAGGUUCCAGGGUUAGGACAAGCAAUCAGCGAUUCUUUCGGCCCACCAAAUGAAGAAGUACGUCUAUUACUUUCUCAACUUUCUGAAUCAAUCUAUAUCCGUUUUCUUCCUGAUUCGGAUAACAACCCACAACUUAACGAGUUCGUUCUGCAUAUUCGUUCAUCACCCGAUAUUCAGGUAAUAAAAUAACUACUGUUUCAAUUUUUUCGUCUUAGAAAUGAAUGUGCUAACACCAAUUAUUUUUCAGAUUCUUUUCUCCAGACAUGCUCCAGACAUCACGGAAAUGCUGCAGGAGUAUCCAGCGAAUUGAACAUGGAUUUAAGUUAAAGUGGUAUAAAACAAU